UAACGAUGAAGAGUUUGAUCCUGGCUCAGGAUGAACGCUAGCGGCAGGCCUAACACAUGCAAGUCGAACGGUAACAUUGGUUGCUUGCAACCAGAUGACGAGUGGCGCACGGGUGCGUAACGCGUAUACAACCUACCUUUUACAGGGAGAUAGCCUUUAGAAAUGAAGAUUAAUACCCCAUAGUAAGUGACUGUGGCAUCACAGACACUUUAAAGCUUCGGUGGUAAGAGAUGGGUAUGCGUUCUAUUAGCUAGAUGGUGUGGUAACGGCACACCAUGGCAACGAUAGAUAGGGGCCCUGAGAGGGGGAUCCCCCACACUGGUACUGAGACACGGACCAGACUCCUACGGGAGGCAGCAGUGAGGAAUAUUGGACAAUGGGCG
rnacentral:rRNA from 1 species